rnacentral:rRNA from 1 species
GACGAACGCUGGCGGCGUGCCUAAUACAUGCAAGUAGAACGCUGAAGGAGGAGCUUGCUUCUCCGGAUGAGUUGCGAACGGGUGAGUAACGCGUAGGUAACCUGCCUGGUAGCGGGGGAUAACUAUUGGAAACGAUAGCUAAUACCGCAUAACAGUAGAUGUUGCAUGACAUUUGCUUAAAAGGUGCAAUUGCAUCACUACCAGAUGGACCUGCGUUGUAUUAGCUAGUUGGUGGGGUAACGGCUCACCAAGGCGACGAUACAUAGCCGACCUGAGAGGGUGAUCGGCCACACUGGGACUGAGACACGGCCCAGACUCCUACGGGAGGCAGCAGUAGGGAAUCUUCGGCAAUGGACGGAAGCCUGACCGAGCAACGCCGCGUGAGUGAAGAAGGUUUUCGGAUCGUAAAGCUCUGUUGUAAGAGAAGAACGAGUGUGAGAGUGGAAAGUUCACACUGUGACG